rnacentral:rRNA from 1 species
CCUACGGGAGGCAGCAGCGGGGAAUAUUGCACAAUGGGGGAAACCCUGAUGCAGCGACGCCGCGUGAGUGAAGAAGUAUUUCGGUAUGUAAAGCUCUAUCAGCCGGGAAGAAAUAGCGACCUUUGGGUCGCCAGACGGUACCUGAUUAAGAAGCCCCGGCUAACUACGUGCCACCAGCCGCGGUAAUACGUAGGGGGCACGAGUUAGCCGGAUUUACUGGGGGGAAAGGGAGCGUAGACGGCAGCGUAAGUCUGAAGUGAAAUGCCGGGGCGUAACCCCGGCAACGCUGUGGAAACUGUGCAGCUAGAGUGCAGGAGAGGUAAGUGGAAUUCCUAGUGUAGCGGUGAAAUGCGUAGAUAUUAGGAGGAACACCAGUGGCGAAGGCGGCUUACUGGACUGUAACUGACGUUGAGGCUCGAAAGCGUGGGGAGCAAACAGGAUUAGAUACCCUUGUAGUC